GAGGAGAUCCAGUAGAGUACUGCAUCAGCUAGAUAGAUGCUAUGAUUUCUUGGUCUGGGAUGGUGAUCCUGUUGAACUAGAUGAAAACAAUGAGGAUCCAAUCACCUUUAUAGAUGACAUAUAGAGAUUUAACUCUGAUAAGUGGCUCGAAGCCAUGAAGUCCAAAAUAAAAUCCAUGAAGGUUAAUGAUGUAUGGACACUCAUUGAUGUGUCCAAAGAGAUAAAACCCAUAGGGUGCAAUGGAUAUUCAACAGAAAAAGGGGC
rnacentral:lncRNA from 1 species